rnacentral:rRNA from 1 species
UACGUAGGUGGCAAGCGUUGUUCGGAAUUAUUGGGCGUAAAGGGCGCGUAGGCGGUCUUGUAAGUCAGCUGUGAAAGCCCGGGGCUCAACCCCGGAGGGUCGGCUGAUACUGCAGGACUGGAGUACGGAAGAGGUAGCUGGAAUUCCCGGUGUAGCGGUGAAAUGCGUAGAUAUCAGGAGGAACACCGAUGGCGAAGGCAGGUCUCUGGGCCAUAACUGACGCUGAGAAGCGAAAGCAUGGGGAGCGAACAGG